rnacentral:rRNA from 1 species
GACGAACCGUGCGAACGUUAUUCGGAAUCACUGGGCUUAAAGCGCGUGUAGGCGGGACGGCACGUCGGUCGCUGAAAUCCCCCGGCUCAACCGGGGAACGGGCGCCGAUACGACCGCCCUGGAGGGACGUAGGGGGACCUGGAACUUCCGGUGGAGCGGUGAAAUGCGUUGAGAUCGGAAGGAACGCCCGUGGCGAAAGCGAGGUCCUGGACGUCUGCUGACGCUGAGACGCGAAAGCCAGGGGAGCAAACGGG